rnacentral:rRNA from 1 species
UACGUAGGGGGCUAGCGUUGUCCGGAAUCAUUGGGCGUAAAGCGCGUGUAGGCGGCCCGAUAAGUCCGCUGUGAAAGUCGGGGGCUCAACCCUCGAAAGCCGGUGGAUACUGUCAGGCUAGAGUACGGAAGAGGCGAGUGGAAUUCCUGGUGUAGCGGUGAAAUGCGCAGAUAUCAGGAGGAACACCCAUUGCGAAGGCAGCUCGCUGGGACGUUACUGACGCUGAGACGCGAAAGCGUGGGGAGCAAACAGG